rnacentral:rRNA from 1 species
ACGCUCGACACCUACGGGGAGGCAGCAGUGGGGAAUAUUGCACAAUGGGGGAAACCCUGAUGCAGCGACGCCGCGUGAGCGAAGAAGUAUUUCGGUAUGUAAAGCUCUAUCAGCAGGGAANAAAAUGACGGUACCUGACUAAGGAGCCCCGGCUAACUACGUGUCAGCAGCCGCGGUAAUCUGAGCGGCUGGCAAGGC